rnacentral:rRNA from 1 species
GACGAACGCUGGCGGCGUGCUUAACACAUGCAAGUCGAACGGAAAGGCCCUGCUUUUGUGGGGUGCUCGAUUGGCGAACGGGUGAGUAACACGUGAGUAACCUGCCCUUGACUUUGGGAUAACUUCAGGAAACUGGGGCUAAUACCGUAUAGGAGCUCCUGCUGCAUGGUGGGGGUUGGAAAGUUUCGGCGGUAGGGGAUGGACUCGCGGCUUAUCAGCUUGUUGGUGGGGUAGUGGCUUACCAAGGCUUUGACGGGUAGCCCGCCUGAGAGGGUGACCGGCCACAUUGGGACUGAGAUACGGACCAGACUCCUACGGGAGGCAGCAGUGGGGAAUAUUGCACAAUGGGAGGAAGCCUGAUGCAGCAACGCCGCGUGCGGGAUGACGGCCUUCGGGUUGUAAACAGCUUCCGCCUGUGACGAAGCGUGAGUGACGGUAAUGGGUAAAGAAGCACCGGCUAACUACGUG